rfam:Paramecium tetraurelia chromosome undetermined scaffold_134, whole genome shotgun sequence.
UUAAAGUGAUGUAAAAAUAUUUGCUACUCUUGAAAUAGCAUGAUGAGACAACCACCAAGAUCUCUGAUUCA